GACGAACGCUGGCGGCGUGCCUAAUACAUGCAAGUCGAACGCAGUGGGGACGGGUGAGUAACACGUGGGUAACCUCCCAUCAGAGGGGAUAACACUUGGAAACAGGUGCUACACCGAUACUGGUGGAUGGACCCGCGGUGCCUUAGCUAGUGUGUGAGGUAACGGCUCACCAAGGCAACGAUGAAUAGCUGACCGGAGAGGGUGACCGGCCACACUGGAACUGAGACACGGUCCAGAAUCCUACGGGAGGCAGCAGUGGGGAAGAUUGGACAAUGGGCGCAAGCCUGAUGCAGCCAUGCCGCGGGUGUGAAGAAGGCCUUCGGGUUGGAAAGCACUUGCAGCGGGGAGGCGUUACCCGCAGAAGAAGCACCGGCUAACUCCGUGCCAGCAGCCGCGGUAAUUC
rnacentral:rRNA from 1 species